GCUAUCGGAGUUCGAUUAAGCCAUGCGAGUCUAAAGGUUUCUUCGGAAACCUUGGCGGACUGCUCAGUAACACGUGGAUAACCUACCCUUGGGACUGGAAUAACCCCGGGAAACUGGGGAUAAUACCGGAUAGAUCAGGGAUGCUGGAAUGCACCUUGAUCCAAAGCUCCGGCGCCCAAGGAUGGGUCUGCGACCUAUCAGGUUGUAGUGGGUGUAAUGUACCUACUAGCCGACGACGGGUACGGGUUGUGAGAGCAAGAGCCCGGAGAUGGAUUCUGAGACACGAAUCCAGGCCCUACGGGGUGCAGCAGGCGCGAAACCUUUACAAUGUGCGAAAGCAUGAUAAGGGAACUCCGAGUGCCAGCAUCUAAUGUUGGCUGUCCUUGUGCCUAAAACGCACAAGAUAGCAAGGGCCGGGUAAGACCGGUGCCAGCCGCCGCGGUAACACCGGCGGCCCGAGUGGUAGCCGCUAUUAUUGGGUCUAAAGGGUCCGUAGCCGGUUCGAUAAGUCCUCUGGGAAAUCUGGUUGCUUAACAAUCAGACUGCCAAGGGAUACUGUCGAAUUUGAGACCGGGAGAGGUAAGAGGUACUUCAGGUGUAGGAGUGAAAUCUUGUAAUCCCUGGGGGACCAUCUGUGGCGAAGGCGUCUUACCAGAACGGGUCUGACGGUGAGGGACGAAAGCUGGGGGCGCAAACCGGAUUAGAUACCCGGGUAGUCCCAGCCGUAAACGAUGCUCGCUAUGUGUCAGGUACGGUGUGACCGUAUCUGGUGCCGUAGGGAAGCCGUGAAGCGAGCCACCUGGGAAGUACGGUCGCAAGACUGAAACUUAAAGGAAUUGGCGGGGGAGCACUACAACGGGUGGAGCCUGCGGUUUAAUUGGAUUCAACGCCGGA
rnacentral:rRNA from 1 species